AGUAAAAGUCGUAACAAGGUCUCCGUUGGUGAACCAGCGGAGGGAUCAUUACAGAGUUAUCCAACUCCCAAACCCAUGUGAACUUAUCUCUUUGUUGCCUCGGCGCAAGCUACCCGGGACCUCGCGCCCCGGGGGGCCCGCCGGCGGACAAACCAAACUCUGUUAUCUUCGUUGAUUAUCUGAGUGUCUUAUUUAAUAAGUCAAAACUUUCAACAACGGAUCUCUUGGUUCUGGCAUCGAUGAAGAACGCAGCGAAAUGCGAUAAGUAAUGUGAAUUGCAGAAUUCAGUGAAUCAUCGAAUCUUUGAACGCACAUUGCGCCCAUUAGUAUUCUAGUGGGCAUGCCUGUUCGAGCGUCAUUUCAACCCCUAAGCACAGCUUAUUGUUGGGACUCUACGGCUUCGUAGUUCCCCAAAGACAUUGGCGGAGUGGCAGCAGUCCUCUGAGCGUAGUAAUUCUUUAUCUCGCUUUUGUUAGGCGCUGCCCCCCCGGCCGUAAAACCCCCAAUUUUUUCUGGUUGACCUCGGAUCAGGUAGGAAUACCCGCUGAACUUAAGCAUAUCAAUAAGCGGAGGAAAAGAAACCAACAGGGAUUGCCCCAGUAACG
rnacentral:rRNA from 1 species